UAACUUGCUUACAGUAGCGGCAAAUAUGACCCACACAGCGAAACUCACCAUGCGAAAUCCGCGAGGUCGUGUUAAACCAUUGUCACAGACAUCACCAUUAUCAUCAUCAUCACCAUCAGCUGAUUUUUGUGCACAAGCUUUCGAACGCUCAGACACGGCCGUAAACUGUAUGGUUAAGAACCUCUGUGGCCGUACAAGUUGUGUGAACGGUUGUUUAGCUGGCAGCACGGAAACGCCUCCUACACGAUGCCGGUUAUCCGAGAGGCAUACAAGGCUAAGUGUAAAACGACAUACGGAAUGUCCGAGGAAGCUGCCGUUUGGAUAGAACUGGCUCGGCAGAUUUUCUUGAAGGAUAUUGCUGAGAAGUGCCGCAAAAUGGUCAACAAGGAGCCGAAGAAAAGGACACUGAAAAGAAAAGGUGUUGCGAGAGCUUACAAGAGCAGGUUUAUCGUGGUGUGACAAAGACCAAGACACGAGGGAGACGGUGGUCGCUGACACUACCACAAUCCAGUCUUCGGCUGUAACAACACAUGUAACCUGUACUUGCACUGCAUGGUCAGUGGUGCGUUGACCUGGCUUUCUGUAAAGGUGUCAACUGUUGUCAGUCAUUGUGGUGUAUUGUUUUAUUCUUUUACAUUAUACGUGAAAGAGUGU